ensembl:lncRNA
CACACACACACACGCCUGCAUGCCUGCAAUGCACACACACGAAAGCACACGACUGCACGCUGGUGUGGGUGCGUGGGCUGGGGUUGGGGCCGUGGGUUGUGGGUUAUGGGUUAGGGCUGGGGUUGGGGUUAUGGGUUAUGGGUUACAGCUCAUGGGUUGGGGUUGGGGUUAUGGGUUACGGGUUAGGGUUGGAGUUGGGGCUAUGGGUUAUGGGUUAUAUCUUAUGGAUUAGGGUUGGGGUUAUGGGUUAGGGUUAGGGUUGGAGUUGGGGCUAUGGGUUAUGGGUUAUAGCUCAUGGGUUAGGGUUGGGGUUAUGGGUUAGGGUUGGGGCUGGGGUUGGGGCUAUGGGUUUUGGGUUACAGCUCAUGGGUUCGGGUUGGGGUUAUGGGUUAUGGGUUAGGGUUAGGGCUGGAGUUGGGGUUUGGGUUAGGGUUAGGGCUGGGGUUGAAGCUAUGGGUUUUGGGUUAUAUCUUAUGGAUUAGGGUUGGGGUUAUGGGUUAGGGGUUAGGGUUGGAGUUGGGGUUAUGGGUUACAGCUCAUGGUUGGGGCUAUGGGUUUUGGGUUAUAGCUUCUGGGUUAGGGUUGGGGUUAUGGCGUAUGGAUUAGUGUGCAUAUGCUUGCAAACAUAUGCUCACUUCAGUGCACACAUGCACACGCAUGCACACAGCCACGCGUGUGCACCUAUGCACAUCCACAUGCGUGCAUCCACACGUGCACACACAUGCAUGCACGCAGCUGCACACAGACGCACACACACACACACA